rnacentral:lncRNA from 1 species
GGGCAGUGUGAGUGGGGCAGUGUGAGUGGGGCAGUGUGAGUGGGGCAGUGUGAGAAGGGCAGUGUGAGUGGGGCAGUGUGAGUGGGACAGUGUGAGGUAGUGUGAGCGGGGCAGUGUGAGUGGGGCAGUGUGAGUAGGGCAGUGUGAGUAGGGCAGUGUGAGUGGGGCAGUGUGAGUGGGGCAGUGUGAGUGGGGCAGUGUGAGUGGGGCAGUGUGAGUAUGGCAGUGUGAGUGGGGCAGUGUGAGUGGGGCAGUGUGAGUGGGGCAGUGUGAGUGGGGCAGUGUGAGUGGGACAGUGUGUGAGUGGGGCAGUGUGAGUGGGGCAGUGUGAGUGGGGCAGUGUG